GUCUACGGCCAUGCCACCCUGAACAAGCCUGAUCCUGUCUGAUCUCGGAAGCUAAGCAGGGUUCGGCCUGGUUAGUACUUGGAUGGGAAACCACCUAGGAAGACCAAGUGCUGUAGGCG
rnacentral:rRNA from 1 species